rnacentral:lncRNA from 1 species
ACUUACCAGCAUCAUCUCAGGGAGCUGCUUCAGGAACCCUCAGAUGCAGGGCCCUGGUCAUUACAGACAUCCAUCCUGCACCCACCUGGCCUCCGGGAUCUAUCGUCUGGGGGUUGCACCAGGGCUGGGUGGGGCUGUGCACCACAGCUGGUGGUACAAGCUGACGAUGCUGAACAUGUUCCUUAGCUCCUUCCCAUGACAAAGGAAAGAAGGAGACUUCGUAGGAUUUGGGUGAAGAACAAAGAAAACAAUGCAUGCUGUGCCAGAUGCCCGGGAGCCUAGUAUGGUGCCCGGCACAUCGGAGGCAUCCACCAACAGGUCGCUGCUGUAUUUCCGGGAGACCCGCACCCCAGUCCUCCGUUGCACUGGGGUCCACAACCUUGGACACCAACACAAGAUUGGGAACGAGUCUCGGAGCUGGCAGCAGGAUGAAAAUUCCCCACAUCAAAGCCAGCCAGUAGAGAAUUCGAGGCAGCAGGUAGUUACCGGAAAGAUCCCUGGUCUAGAUUUUGGGGAAUCGUGGCAUCUAGCCUAGACCCCGCCAGCACCCAGUUGUGUGGCUUCAGAAAAGCAGAUGGGGAUAUGGAGGAAAGACCAUGUGAGGACACAGCAAGGCAGCCAUCGCAGGCAAAGAAGAGAGGUCUGAGAAGAAACCAAACCUCCAACAUGUUGAUCUUAGACAUCUGGCCUCCAGAACUGUGAGAAAAUCCAUUUCUGCUGUUUAAGCCAUCCCAUCUGUGAUCUUUCCUUAUGGUGGCCCUAGCAAAUGAGUACAACUUUAUAGAGGGAAAUUAAGGACUACACAAAUAAAUGGAAGGAUAGACCAUGUUCAUGGAUUAGAAGACUCAAUAUUGAUAAGACGUCAUUUCUCCCCAAACUGCACAACUGAUGCACCACAAUCAUAAUAAAAAGUCCAACAGGGGGCUGGCCCCGUGGCCGAGUGGUUAAGUUCACGCACUCCGCUGCAGGCGGCCCAGUGUUUCGUUGGUUCGAAUCCUGGGCGCGGACAUGGCACUGCUCAUCAAACCACGCUGAGGCAGCGUCCCACAUGCCACAACUAGAAG